rnacentral:lncRNA from 1 species
GAAUACAUUGUUGUCUACUUAAAAAUAUAAUAUGAGUAUAUGACUUAUUGUCUUAUUGACUUACUUGAACAGACUUGAUACUUCGCAUUUCGCAAACCCUCAUCGCCUUCAGCCCUCAUUCGCCUGAUCUCAAUUCUCAAGACUCAAACCCUCAAUCUCAUUCUCAUUCUCUCAAAUUCCCUAAUCCCAAACCCUCAGUCCCUCCCUCAUCAGUCAUCACAGAGGCCAACACAACACAGAGGCCAGAUUCUCAAACCCUCAUCGCCUCCCUCGAGCAGUCGAGCUCGACCGUCGACCCUCAGUCCCUCAUCGCCAUCGGCCGACGGCCAUCGCCUUCCUUCGACCGACUGCAGUCACGGACUCACGGCAUCGCCUCCCUCGACCGGUCGACCCUUUUGGGUUUUGUUUCUGCUGUUCUGCAUCAAGUAUUCAAGUCUCUCUCUCUUUACUUCUCUUCUCAGGUAAAAUAAUUACUAAGAUCUACUGAUUUUUCAAUUCUAUUUCCAUGUUUUAGUUAUGUGAAUUAAAACAUGGAAUUGAAAUUAUAUCAAUUAUUUUGGUUAGAUCUAACAAAUCUAUGUUCUAUUUUUACUGAUUAAUUUUAAACCCUCUUCGAUUAGGCAUUGUUUUAAUAUAUGUAUAUGUAAUGUAAGUGCUAAUCUUAAAUUCUUAUGUCCUUUUCUGUUUUCUUUGAUGCCCAGUGUUCCACACUGUUGUUAAUUAUUCAAGUAUUGAUACUGAGAAUUUCUGAAAUUUUCAGUAGAUAAAUAAGUAAAGAAGUUUGAACUAAAAAAGUUGCUGCAUACACACUCUUUCAUUUUGGCCAAGAUCAUGAAUCAUUGCAGUUGUUUUUCUCUCAAAAGCAAAUAGCGGUUCCUUUUAGAUUUAUAAUCCAGCCGACAUAAUUACCUUGUAGAUGUUUGCUGCCUAUUACAGGUAUACCUGAUACAAUUAAUAAUUCCUAAAGUAACCUAUUGUAUAUAUUGAAAAAUUUAAACAAUCUGUACCAAAAAAUUUUAUGGUCUUCUAUGGGUUAUUUCUGUGCAAUUCAUACUUUUUGAAAACAUAUAAUGCAGGGUUGGGAUGUUAAGCAAAAUGAUGGAAAGAUAGAUGUAGAGAUCUUACUUAGGCAUGAAUAAUCUCAAAUGUUGAAAUCUUAAAAUGACAAAUCUUAAAAUGACCAAAAUUAUGGAAAAAUGAAAAACAUUAUCAAAAUCCGGAACAUACGGUGAUGUAAGACAAUAGGAUAAGACACUUUGAUUAUGGCUUAUUGCUCUGCUGCAGACUCUUAUGAUAAUUUGUGGAGAUUAGUUUUCCUUCAAAUAGGGCAAAGAGAACUUUCUUCUUGAGAUCAGUUUUCUUAAUGCAAAUGUUGGUUUGGCCAUUUGUUAGUACUAAUAUAUUUAUUCUUUUUGAUUUGUUGCAGUGACUUGAGCAGUGUCUUACCCCUUGAAUGUUCAACAGCAACAGCAGCAGCUAGCAAGUGGACAAGUGGUAGGAGGUUCAAGCAGCAAAUGGAUUAUGAUUUAUGGGCAGCAAAUGGUCAUUGUAGCAAAUGGGCAGCAACAGCAGUCAGUCAGCAUUUGUUUAUGGAUUGUAUUUGUAGGAACUGAACUGUGUUUAUGUCAGUCAGCAGCAAAAUUAUGUUUAUGUCAGUCAUUGUAGGACUUGUGUUGUUGUUUAUGGAUUAUGUUAAUGGAUUGUAAGAACUGUGUUAUUGUUUAUGGAUUGUAGCCUGUCUGUAGGAAGUGAACUGUGUUGCUGCUAAUUCUUUUCAAUUCGGUUAUUCGGUUAGUACACAAUUUGGUUGCUUAUUCGGGUACCUAAAAUAGCGUUAGUUCGGAUAUCGGUUAUAACCAAAAUUGUGGUUCGGUUCGGUUAUUAACUGAAUGCUCAGCCCUAAUAACUCCAACAGAAAUAAUACCUGAAAGUGACCAUGAUCGAUUAGGAUGAGGCAUAGGGCAAGUAAAAUCAUUGCAAUGUGCCAUGCUACAUUACUUGUAUGUCCUCUUGGUUGUCCAUAACAACAUGCAAUGACAAAACAAAGAACUGCAAGAAAGAAUAUUAAUAGGACUUCUUUUCACUCUGUUGAG